AUCCUAGCGGCCAGUGGUGUCUAUAAAUAGGAAGAAUGAUCAACACCGAGUACCAUCCUCAUUAUUCUUUGGUCUUUCUUUCUUCUAAUUAGCAUACUUAUAAUGGGCGUUUCAAAGAAUUUGCAGGUCAUGGCUAUGGUGGUUUUCAUAACAAUCAGCUUGGUUCUUCCAGAGGUCGCUUCAUCAACUGCACUUGUCACUGAUGCAAUCCCAAAAACCAUUCUUGGAAGGAAGCUUCUUGAUGAUCCAUCGCUUCCUCCUACAUAUGAAGCCUGGCCAGGAACUGGAGGACGUCCAUGUUGCGGAACUCCCCCAUAAGGCGGUGGCGGCUGCAUGGGAUGCUGCUGCACUAGCUCCAUUAAUUAUGAUUGGAAAUUUAGAUCACCUAGAAUCACCGUAAUAUAUGAGAAAAGAAGGGUUUAUCUAAAAAAUGAUUAAUAAAAAAAAAAGCCCUUAAUCUCUUUUCCUAUUAA